UACAGAGGGGGCAAGCGUUGUUCGGAAUUACUGGGCGUAAAGGGCGCGUAGGCGGCCUUCUAAGUCGAACGUGAAAUCCCUGGGCUCAACCCAGGAACUGCGUCCGAUACUGGAAGGCUUGAAUCCGGGAGAGGGAUGCGGAAUUCCCGGUGUAGCGGUGAAAUGUGUAGAGAUCGGGAGGAACACCGGUGGCGAAGGCGGGUCUCUGGGCAAUUCCUGACGCUGAGGCGCGAAAGCGUGGGGAGCAAACGGG
rnacentral:rRNA from 1 species